UUAGAGGAAGUAAAAGUCGUAACAAGGUUUCCGUAGGUGAACCUGCGGAAGGAUCAUUAGCGAACCCGACGGCCGGGAGCGGGUUGUGCUGGCGCCCCCGCGGCGCACGUGCACGCCCGCCCUCGACGUCCGCUUUCCACACACGCACCUGUGCACCUUUUGAUCGCCGGGACACGGGGGGGCCGACGCGCCCCCGGGUUCCCGACGACCGAACAACACACCAGCCAUUGUCUUGUCGGAUGUGAACCGCGAAAGCGAAACAAAAAUAAUACAACUUUUAACAACGGAUCUCUUGGUUCUCGCAUCGAUGAAGAACGCAGCGAAAUGCGAUAAGUAAUGUGAAUUGCAGAAUUCAGUGAAUCAUCGAAUCUUUGAACGCACCUUGCGCUCCUUGGUAUUCCGAGGAGCAUGCCCGUUUGAGUGUCGUGAUGCCCUCGAGGCCGGUCGCCCCCGUGGCGUUCCGACUCGGACUUUGGAUGUGCUGCCGGACGGCAACGACCGGCUCAUCCCAAACGCAUUAGCCAGACCUUUUUCGGGGCCUUCUUUCGGUUCUCACUCGGCGUGAUAAGAUCGCCCGUCGAGGACGAGAGGAGCGCCCCCGGCAGGACCGGCUUCCAGACCGCGCGUCUCGCGCACUUUGACCGUCUGACCUCAAAUCGGGUAGGACCACCCGAUGAACUUAAGCAUAUCAAUA
rnacentral:rRNA from 1 species